rnacentral:rRNA from 1 species
UGAGCAAUGUGCCCUUGACUCUGGGAUAAGCGCUGGAAACGGCGUCUAAUACUGGAUACGACCAUCGGAGGCAUCUCCUGGUGGUGGAAAGAACUUCGGUCAAGGAUCAGCUCACGGCCUAUCAGCUAGUUGGUGAGGUAAUGGCUCACCAAGGCGACGACGGGUAGCCGGCCUGAGAGGGUGACCGGCCACACUGGGACUGAGACACGGCCCAGACCUNUACGGGAGG